rnacentral:rRNA from 1 species
AACGAACGCUGGCGGCAGGCUUAACACAUGCAAGUCGAACGCCCCGCAAGGGGAGUGGCAGACGGGUGAGUAACGCGUGGGAACGUACCUUUCGCUUCGGAAUAUUCCCGGGAAACUGGGAGCAAUGCCGAAUACGCCGUAUUGGGAAAGAUUUAUCGGCGAAAGAUCGGCCCGCGUUAGACUAGGUAGUUGGCGGUGUAAUGGACCACCAAGCCUACGAUCUAUAGCUGGUCUGAGAGGAUGAUCAGCCACACUGGGACUGAGACACGGCCCAGACUCCUACGGGAGGCAGCAGUGGGGAAUCUUGGACAAUGGGCGCAAGCCUGAUCCAGCCAUGCCGCGUGAGUGAAGAAGGCCUUAGGGUUGUAAAACUCUUUCGCCGGAGAAGAUAAUGACGGUAUCCGGAGAAGAAGCCCGGCUAACUUCGUG